CCUGGCUCAGGAUGAACGCUAGCGGCAGGCUUAACACAUGCAAGUCGAGGGGUAACAGUCCCGCUUCGGCGGGAGCUGACGACCGGCGCACGGGUGAGUAACGCGUAUGCAACUUUCCUGUAACUGGAGGAUAGCCCCUGGAAACGGGGAUUAAUACUGCGUAAUACCUAAAUACCGCAUGGUAUUAAGGUCAAAUCUACGGAGGUUACAGAUGGGCAUGCGUGCCAUUAGCUAGAUGGUAAGGUAACGGCUUACCAUGGCAAUGAUGGCUAGGGGUUCUGCAAGGAAGGCCCCCCACACUGGUACUGAGACACGGACCAGACUCCUACGGGAGGCAGCAGUGAGGAAUAUUGGUCAAUGGAGGCAACUCUGAACCAGCCAAGCCGCGUGAAGGAAGACUGUCCUAUGGAUUGUAAACUUCUUUUGUGGCAGAAUAAACUACCGUACUUGUACGGUAUUGCAUGUAUGCCAUGAAUAAGCAUCGGCUAACUCCGUGCCAGCAGCCGCGGUAAUACGGAGGAUGCAGGCGUUAUCCGGAUUUAUUAGGUUUAAAGGGUGUUCAGGCUGCCUGGUAAGUCAGGGGUGAAAGUCGGUUGCUCAACGAUCGAAUUGCCUUUGAAACUGUCAGGCUCGAGUACGGAUGCGGUAGGCGGAAUGUGUAGUGUAGCGGUGAAAUGCAUAGAUAUUACACAGAACACCGAUUGCGAAGGCAGCUUACCAAACCAGCACUGACGCUGAAGCACGAAAGCGUGGGGAGCGAACAGGAUUAGAUACCCUGGUAGUCCACGCCGUAAACUUUGCUCACUCGCUGUUGGCGAUAGACAGUCAGCGGCCAAGGGAAACCGAUAAGUGAGCCACCUGGGGAGUAC
rnacentral:rRNA from 1 species